rnacentral:lncRNA from 1 species
GUAGGGCUUGAAAAAGCCAUCCUUAGCAUAGGGCUUAGAAAAGCCAAUAUUGAUCUUUGCUUGGAAAUGGUAGAUCUUGAGGUGAGUUCAUUCCCUUGGUGGUCACCGUAAGAGUGUGGUUUUGAUUGUUACAUUCAUUAGGGGUUAGUGUUGAAAUACACUUGGUUCUUAAUCUUGUAAUAAUCUUGGUCUCACUAUCUAUCUUUAUUUUCU